rnacentral:rRNA from 1 species
UACGUAGGGUGCAAGCGUUAAUCGGAAUUAUUGGGCGUAAAGAGCUUGUAGGCGGUUUGUCGCGUCUGCCGUGAAAAUUCGAGGCUCAACCUCGAACUUGCGGUGGGUACGGGCAGACUAGAGUGUGGUAGGGGAGACUGGAAUUCCUGGUGUAGCGGUGAAAUGCGCAGAUAUCAGGAGGAACACCGAUGGCGAAGGCAGGUCUCUGGGCCACUACUGACGCUGAGAAGCGAAAGCAUGGGGAGCGAACAGG